GGCCUCGUAGCUCAGCUGGUAGAGCACUCGCGGUACUAAAGUGAAGGUGAUAACCAUGCGUGGGUUGGAAUCCCGUCGGGGCCA
rnacentral:tRNA from 1 species